GGGGGGUUGAGCCAUCCAACUGCCCUUCUCCUAAGCUAGAGAAGGCUUCUGCAAGUAGUUUUCCCUGAGAAAACUGUUCUCUGCCAUGGAGAACAGAAGAUCUGGGGCUGAUUUCUUCCUGGAUGUAUUUCAAAAGGAUUACUUUCCCCCUUCCCGUGUCCAAAGCACAAGGGAAUUUUCCUGCCAUCUUUACAGGAGAACCUAGUGGGUCUCCUCAAGGUAAAACCCACCAAAGUGUGGGGUUCCCUUAGACAAGCUCCCGGUUUUGAACCCUCAAGCUAGUCCACACUUAGCCCACAGCAAUAUGUUUAAAUCUCAAUUACUGUCUCCAACAGCUUCUGCCUUAGGUGAGCCGAUCUCUAUUUUCCUGCCUGUUUUUGCGGUGAAGGUUUGCCCUGUGACCUCAAUUCUCUGACAGAUAUAAGAAAAGCUGUUGAUUAUCGGUUUGCUUAGCCUUUUUCUUAUUAUGAGGACACCCCAUUCUUUCUCAAACAUACUCUAGAUUUGCAACUGCCCUCCACUGAAACAGCACUUGUCAAAGUCCCCAAGGACCUCAAUACUGACUGCUUCAAUUGUUACAGCUCACAGUACUUGACCUUUUUGCAGCGUAUGACACAGUUGAUUACUCCUUCCCUCAAACUUGACUUAGCUUCCAAGACACCACACACAGCUGGUUUUCCUACCUCACUGGCCACUGUCUGUCUUUGCUGGUUUUUCCUCAUCUCCUUGACUUCUUAGCAUCUGGAGUGACCCACGACUCAGUCCUUGGACCUUUCUCUACAUAAAACUCACUCCCUUUCUAAUCUCAUCUAGUCUCAUGACUUUAAAUGCCAUUUACAUGUUGACUCCCAUAAUUCUAUCUCUACCCUGAGUUGCUCCCUUGAACUCCGGACUAGAAUAUCCAACUGCCUGUUUAUCAUUUCCCCUGGGAUAACUACCAGGCAUCUCAAACUUACCUGUCCACAACCAAAUUCCUGAUCUUCAGCCAUAGACCUGUGGUACCUACAGGUUUCUCAUCUCAACUGCUCAGACAAAAAUACCUAGAAAUCAACCCUGAUGCCUUAAUUUCUCAUAUAGUCAGCCUGUCAACAAAUCCUAUUAAUUUUACCUUCAAGGUAAGUACAGAAUCUAACCAGUUCUCAAGAUUCUAACUUCUGGCACACUGGUACAAGCCACCUGCACUUCUCACCUGAGCUACUGCAAAUGGCCUCCUAACUGGUCUGUUUCCACCUUUGCUCACCAAUCCCCUAAAGCACACGCCUGACCCUAUCACUCCUCUGCUCAAUGGCCCCCUCUCAGAGUGGCAGCCAAAGUUCACACAAGGCUCUAUAUAGUCUACAGGACCACAUGCUCACAUCCCGUCUCGCACUCUUCCUGGGUCUGCCUCAGCCCUCACUGGCUACCACACUGUUCCUGGAGCCCUCUUACAUGCUUAUAGCCCAAGGGCUUUGCCCUUGUUGUCUCUGCCUGGAAUUCUCUCCUUCCAGGUGUCCAGAAGGUUCAAUCCCACACUGCUGAGACUUUGUUCAAGUGCUAUCUUGAUGGAGUCUUCUCUACUCUUUAAGAUUCCAACAUUGCCCUGCCUCCCCUAACUCCCUAUUUCUUCUCCCCAACUUCUAUGGUUUUUUUUUCUUCUUUCUUUUUUUUUCUUUGAGUCAAAGGUCUUGCUUUGUCAUUCAGGCUGGAAUGCAGUGGUGUGAUCAAGGCUCACUGCAGCCUUGACCUCCUGAGCUCAAGAAAUCCUCCUGCCUCAGCCUCUUGAAUGUCAGCUGGGACAACAGGCACAUACCACUGCACCCAGCACAUUUUUAGUGGUUUUUUUUUUUUUUUUUUUUUUUUUUUUUUAAGAGAGACGGAGUCUUACUAUGUUGCCCCGACUGGUCUCAAACUCCUGGCUUCAAGUGAUCCACUCACCUCAGCCUCUCAAAGCACUGGGAUUACAGGAGGGAGCCACUGCGCACGACCCAUGCUCCUCCACAGGUCAACAGGAAGGGAUACAUCUACUCAACAAACUUCGGGAUUUAGCCAAGAUGGCAGGCUAAGUCUCAC
rnacentral:lncRNA from 1 species